rnacentral:rRNA from 1 species
UGGGGAAUAUUGCACAAUGGGCGCAAGCCUGAUGCAGCGACGCCGCGUGAGGGAUGACGGCCUUCGGGUUGUAAACCUCUGUCUUUGGGGACGAAGAAAGUGACGGUACCCAAAGAGGAAGCCACGGCUAACUACGUGCCAGCAGCCGCGGUAAUACGUAGGUGGCGAGCGUUGUCCGGAAUUACUGGGUGUAAAGGGUGCGUAGGCGGACUGGCAAGUUGGACGUGAAAUCUCCGCGCUUAACGUGGAGGUUGCAUUCAAAACUGUUGGUCUUGAGUGAGGCAGAGGCAGGCGGAAUUCCCGGUGUAGCGGUGAAAUGCGUAGAGAUCGGGAGAAACACCAGUGGCGAAGGCGGCCUGCUGGGCCUUAACUGACGCUGAGGCACGAAAGCAUGGGUAGCAAACA